CGCAGUGUUGACUGGGAGGCGGGCAUGGGACUAUUCUAUCCAUUUCCUUUCCUCUAAAAACUCAAACUCUUCUCACUGGGGCAUUUUCUCAUGAUGUACACGAUACGGACCCAAGGAUCUAAGAUCGUCAAGACAGGUUUUACUGGAGGGAAAGGCUUUGAAGGCAGUCAGACUUGAGUUUGAACUUGGAUUCUACCUAGCAGCCAUCGACUGACUGCUUUGCUUUCGCAUCUAGAAAACAGGGGCUGAACCAGCUUUGUGGGCCAAAUUAUUUGAUGCUUAUAAAACUCAUGUAAUCGAGUUCAGCUCAGCCUGGAUUAUGCUGUUCCCUGAACGUCAGUUGUGUCUGCUCCUCUCCCUUAGAUGAACAGUGAUUUUCAUCCACAUCAAUGUUCUCCCCUGGAAUGUCUAAGCUCAGUGCAACAUUGGUUCUCUUGUCUCCCAUUUGUUUUGGCAGAGUGGCUGACCAUUCCCCGAUGGAGGACUCUGGGCCCUCUUCCUCAGUGACAGGGGUUUCUCACCCGCAGAGAAGUUUUGAUUCCUAGAGGAGAAAACGUUCUGAUGAAUUUUCAGACCCACCUAACAAGAGACUUCACUUCGCUCAGGACGCUUUCCCGGGAUGCCUGUGCUGGUCGGGCCCCUCCUGCGUGCUGCCUUGGCAACUGGACUUCCUCAAUGCCGGCAUUUAUCAUCUCAUAGGCACUUGUCCAAUUGGUAAGAAGAUAAUGGAGAAAAAGACAAAGUCUUGCUUCAUGGCAUUUAUAUUCUCCGGCAGGACCUCAAUAUCUACAUAGAAUCUCAGGCUUUCUGUGAUGAGAAGUCUGGCUCCCUGGGAAGACAAUGGCAGGUUCCAACUUACAAGGUGACAUGACCAAGAAAUAGGAAGACUGGCACAAAAUCUCAGUCACUCAUAAGAUGGAUGGAUAAAGUACCUUCAGUCCCAUUAAGGAGCCAUUUCUCUAGGCUGCCCAUGCUGCCUGGCAGGAAACGGCAGGAAGCAGAGCUAGCAAUUCUGCAUGAGACGGCAUGGAAAUAGCUGAGGAAAUAUUAGGACCACAAAAACACUGUGUGUGGGAGUCAGACGAAAGCCAAGCCUGUGACAACAGAUAGAACUUCUUUUCAAGCAGGCAAAGAAUAAAGAAUCCAUGGAUACCUGGAUGCCAUGUGGGAAGCCCUAGAGCCAAAUGCAGACAUAAAUGACUAUACCAUAACUGGGCAGCAAGAAAACAUCAGGAACCAGUGACUUCAUGCAGGAAAAUGGAUGUGUACAUCUCUGAAGGGAUAAGAAUGUAUUAUUUUAUGUAACUGGCAUAGCAUACAAAUAAGAUAAAUAAACUUAUCAGUUGACCAUAGCAGAUAUUUCUAGCCUGACUGAUCCAUGAAAGUCUUUAUUUUCCAAGUUUCCAUCUCUCUUAUCAGAAACAAUUUUAUUAAUCAAAUGAAGAAAUAGAAAUAUAUUAGGGAUGUCGUAGGAUUUGCUUUCUAGUAGACUUGGAAUGCAAUUCCGCCUCUACCAUUCAGUAGCUGUGUGGCUUUGUACAAUUUGUUGUCCUUGCUUGGCCUCAGUUUCCCCACCUGUACUGUGAGGUUAAUGAUAUCUGCCACAUACAAGUGUCAGAAGGAUUAAACAAUGGCGGUGGGCAUUUGGUGCAGUGGUUAAGACAUUGCUUGGGAUGCCCCCAUCCCACACAGAGUGCCGGAACUUGAAUCUCAGCUCCACUUCCAAUUCCAGCUUUCUGCUAAUGGACACCCUGUGAGGCUCAAGUAGUUGGAUUCCUACUUGUGGGAGAUCUGGGUUGAGUUGCUGGCACCUGGACUGGGCCUGUCCCAGCCAUGUCUAUUAUGGGCAUGUGAAGAGAGAACCAUCAGAUGGAAGAUAACACUGUGUUUCUGUGUGUGUGUCUGUCUGCUCUUCAAAUAAGUAAACAAGAAUUAAAA